GGCUCCGCUUGAUGUAUUUUUUUGGGGUUUAUUAGGUCGUCGGUUUUUCAUAUCGCGGGGAUCGGGACGUGCGUUGCCCAGUCGACCGAGUUUCCAGAAACUGCCGGCACACGCUCCUCCAGCUCGACAAAUCCGGCGACCACCGGCGACCCGCCGCUGCCGCCCGGAGAAUCCGUGCCCUGACCCCACCCCCACCCCCCGCCCCUUUCAAUGACCCCAGUUCCGCCCCUCCCUCGCCGGCGGUCCUGAAUUCCAGGCGGCGCUGCUCGUGGGAAGUCCCGACGGGAGCUGCGCGUGGGGCGCUUCCCGGUGGACUACGACGCGUCCACGAGCUACUGCGCGGCGUUUUCCAUGGAGAGCCUGCCGUCGCCGCGGUUCCUCUCCCCAUCCGGCAGGGAACGAGCGGGUGGCGUACCAGGCAGCGCGAACACUCUCCGGCUUGGUGGAUCCUUUAGGUCAGCGGAGUGGCAACCCAAUAUAAUUUUAUCGGUCACUGCUACCAGUUCGCAACCCUGCAACCAUGAUUUUUAGAAUCUUGCAUUGAUAAUUUUCAUCAUUACUCGAAUGCUAAAUGCCAUCGUUUCCCGUUUGCAGAAACCUUGGCUCCGUUCUUGUGAGCAUCGUGGUCUAGUGUUGAUUCAUGUUGCUGCAAUCUUAGCAUAUUCACUUGUUUGUUUACACAAAUCCACGCUCUGUCAUCAGAUUUCAGCCGCCAAGCCGAGGUAGAUCCUGAUAUCCAGUCAAGCAUACUAUGGUCUAUGUGGUUUUCUUAUAAUUACUACCUUUAUUUUUGGUGCAAUUUAGAUCUCUUCUACCUUUUUUUCUUCAAAUACAUGUGUUUGGGAGGUACAAAUUUUUCAUGUCCACUCCACUUAAAAACAUUUUGGCUAAUUUGUUGCAGGUUGAUAUUAUAAUGAUCUCUUUGAUGGCAAUACUGUCGCGUAAUAAGCGUUGGCUUUGUGUCUUCAUACAUGCCAACUAAGUAAUGACUAGCUAUUUGGCUCCACAUGAAAGUUUUAAAAUGUUAUGAAAAAGCUACUCACAUACAGCAAAAGAAAAUGGCAUACUUACAAAGCAUGUCAAUGCCCCUAAUGUUAUUUCAGUUGUACCUGGUCUUUGGAAAUGGGUAUAUGUACAAAUAAGAAGUAUGCGUUUGGGAUAUUGGCAGCGCUGAUUCUUUAGCUCAAUUUUGUUCGUGUAGAGAUCCAGGAUGGACGGCGAUGUUCAAAAAAUUAAGUGGAACUGAAGAUGUGUCUUACUCCUGGGUACACAAUGAACUGUAGAGCUACAUCGCAUGUUGUGGUCUUCAGCGUCGGGCUACCUAGUACGAUAGAAAUACAACAUCAACGCGUUGUCUAGUCGAGCUGAUCUAGCUAAAUAAUUUGCACCGACUAAUGUAAUUUUUAUUACAUGUUUACAUAUUGAUUUCUUAAUUUUUGAUAUGCACGGGAUGCCUGAAAUAUGUAAACACAUGUGUGCAUGGAUACAUAUAUAUGUUUAUUCAAAUGGAGAUCUUACUCUA